rnacentral:rRNA from 1 species
UACGAAGGGGGCUAGCGUUGUUCGGAAUUACUGGGCGUAAAGGGCGCGUAGGCGGUGUGUCAAGUCAGGCGUGAAAGCCCCGGGCUCAACCUGGGAACCGCGCUUGAGACUGGCACGCUAGAGUUCGGGAGAGGAUGGUGGAAUUCCCAGUGUAGAGGCGAAAUUCGUAGAUAUUGGGAAGAACACCGAUGGCGAAGGCAGCCAUCUGGACCGACACUGACGCUGAGGCGCGAAAGCGUGGGGAGCAAACAGG